UCGAACAUGAGUUACUGAAAUACCAAGGUUGCUACCGCUUUGCGUUGUUGUUGCUGGAAGAACGUCGAGUCGUGAUGUGACGGUUCCGGUUGUAGCCUUUCUGGUUGCAGCAAGGUUGACGUUGGAGAGUUUAAGGGACUUGUGGUUUUUGUACAGCUGAAGCGUGGAAGGGGUAUGAAGGGUUAUUUUUCUGUGUGAACAGUGUUGCAGAGAGAGAUUUCGAAAAUGUCUUUCUCCUCUCCUUUUUUCUCUUUUUGAAUGGUAG
rnacentral:lncRNA from 1 species